UAUGCAUACUAAAAAAAUGUUUUUUAGGCAAAUCAAAUCCAUGAACAUGAACAACAAGAAGCUCAAUCUAAGGAAGUUCAAGAGCUGUUAAUGAAUGGAUUUAAACCAGUUUUUAAGAAAAAAUCUGAUGUACGGUUAGAACAAGCUAUCGAAAAGUAUGGAGAAUUAAAAAAUUCAAAUAGAAUGAAAAAAUACAUGGAAAGGAAAUCAAAAAAGAUAAAGAAGAAGGAACAAAAAAAUAAACCUCCAAUAUUAUGAUGAAUUCGUGCAUGGACUGGCUAAUCACUUGAAAAUACGCAUAAAAUCAUAAGGUUAUGUUAGGAAAACAACACUUACAUAAUAAAUCAUUGCAUUGUAUUUUCCUUUUAAGUGGUACAUCUCAAAAAUAAAAAGAGAUAUAGAUUUGUUUGAAAGUGUAAAAAGUGCUUUUUUUUACCCAUUUUAUAAGGUACCUUUAUUUUACUAUUUUUGAAG